AUACUCCCCUGGCAGAGGAGACACUGUGAUCACGAAGGUGUUUUCCCAGGGCCAGCUUGUCCAGUGCACUGCUGAUAUGCUGACCCUGCAUAUCCAAAUGCAGGAAACUGGACCAUGUAAUUUUUGGUAGUGGGAGAGUGUGUCGAUGCUUUCCCCA
ensembl:snRNA U1 U1 spliceosomal RNA